rnacentral:lncRNA from 1 species
AUGUUUCAGGAGAAGAGGCUGACGGAGAGCGUGGAGAGCGAGGUGUCGCUGCUGACCGCUCUGACCGAGAUGUUGGAGCGCGUGGACGUCGAGACACUGUCGCCAUUCGACACGCUGCCGGACGCACACAUAUUCUCGGCUCAGAAGAGUUCGGAUCACACGAAGCCCAAAGCGCUCAGUCUAGACCAGUACCGUCUCCUCAGACAGAAGAAGCCAGCUCUGGAGGAGAAACCAAUGGACUUUCGAACCAAAUGGCCUUCGCUUCACCAGCUUCCCAAGCCGAAGCUGGAUCCACACACAUGUCCAUCGCAGUCGCUGGGAAUCUCUCGUCUCUCUCAGAAAGAUGCAAACACGGCUGUAGGUCUUUGCAUUGACCCUCCAAACCCGGUUUUAGUGCCCUUGAAACCCACCCGACAGCCCAUAAUCUCAGCCGCAGAACCAGACGCUGGUGUUUCUUGUGAAGAGGUUCGAGUCUCUGAGGACGAACCCGAAGCUUCAGGAAGGAGACGGAAGCAGACGACGUGUGGAGCAAUCGGUGAGCAGAACGUUCGUCUCGUUCGGAAAGAUAUAGAUAUAAGUUUAAAUACCAUAUUUUGUUUCGGCUGGUUGCCAAAGCUUAAUCAAGUUGGACUGGGUUUUCAUUUAGUUUUAUUUGAUGUAAUAAAACAACUAUAACCAUAACUGAAAUAAAAAAGUAAUAAUAACUAAACAGAAUUUUUUUUUAAUAACAG